GUGGCCCAUUUUAGCACUUCUGGCAGAGGUGUCAAGCAGAACCGACAGAGUCUGGACCAGACACUGCUCGCGGUGGCUUUCUCUCCUUGACCUUAGCUCCUGAACGGAAUGGCCCGGAACCCAUUCUUCUUCGAGCUCCGUGUUUUUUCCGCUUGGUGGCAUCCAGUGCCAAGUUCGGCAGAAUAUUUUUAAAAUGACCACACCAAACAAGACACCUCCUGGUGCUGACCCUAAGCAGUUGGAAAGGACUGGAACAGUACGGGAAAUUGGGUCACAAGCUGUUUGGUCACUCUCAUCUUGUAAACCAGGAUUUGGAGUGGAUCAGUUACGAGAUGACAAUCUAGAAACUUACUGGCAAUCAGAUGGAUCCCAGCCUCAUUUAGUGAACAUACAAUUCAGAAGAAAAACAACAGUGAAGACAUUAUGUAUUUAUGCGGAUUACAAAUCUGAUGAAAGCUACACUCCAAGCAAGAUCUCAGUCAGAGUAGGAAAUAAUUUUCACAACCUUCAAGAAAUUCGGCAACUUGAAUUGGUGGAACCAAGUGGCUGGAUUCACGUUCCCUUAACUGAUAAUCACAAGAAGCCAACUCGCACUUUCAUGAUACAGAUUGCUGUUCUAGCCAAUCACCAAAAUGGAAGAGAUACCCACAUGAGACAGAUUAAAAUAUACACACCAGUGGAAGAGAGCUCCAUUGAAGUACAAGACCAAGUAUGAAUGGGGUAAGGGGACCCUUCGUCACUAAACAAGCAUUUAACUGAUUCCUGCUGAAUGGGGCUUGCAGAUCUUAGUUUCCCAACCAAGGACUGACAGCGCAGAGUGAAAGCAUGGAGCCCUAACCACGGGACUACCAGGGAUUUCCCUAAAGGCUCUUACGAUGAGAAAGGCCAUGUGAGGACAUGCUGAGAAGGUGUAAACCAGGAAGAGAGCUCUCACUUUGAUCCUUCCA